CCUACGGGUGGCAGCAGUGAGGAAUAUUGGUCAAUGGACGAGAGACUGAACCAGCCAAGCCGCGUGAGGGAUGACUGCCCUGUGGGUUGCAAACUUCUUUUGUCUGGGAACAAAACGUUCCACGCGUGGGCUUUUGUGUGUACCUUAUGAAUAAGCAUCGGCUAACUCCGUGCCAGCAGCCGCGGUAAUACGGAGGAUCCGAGCGUUAUCCGGAUUUAUUGGGUUUAAAGGGUGCGGAGGCGGUUUGUUAAGUCAGGGGUGAAAGUUUGCGGCUCAACCGCAGCAUGGCAGUUGAAACUGGCAGUCUCGAGUAGGGGAGAGGUAGGCGGAAUGCGUGGUGUAGCGGUGAAAUGCAUAGAUAUCGCGAAGAACUCCGAUUGCGAAGGCAGUACGCUGGAUUGAAACUGACACUGAGGCACGAAAGUGUGGGUAUCGAACAGGAUUAGAUACCCCAGUAGUC
rnacentral:rRNA from 1 species